AGCGAACGCUGGCGGCAGGCCUAACACAUGCAAGUCGAACGAACCCUUCGGGGUUAGUGGCGGACGGGUGAGUAACACGUGGGAACGUGCCUUUAGGUUCGGAAUAACUCAGGGAAACUUGUGCUAAUACCGAAUGUGCCCUUCGGGGAAAGACUUAUCGCCUUUAGAGCGGCCCGCGUCUGAUUAGCUAGUUGGUGAGGUAAUGGCUCACCAAGGCUACGAUCAGUAGCUGGUCUGAGAGGAUGACCAGCCACAUUGGGACUGAGACACGGCCCAAACUCCUACGGGAGGCAGCAGUGGGGAAUCUUGCGCAAUGGGCGAAAGCCUGACGCAGCCAUGCCGCGUGGAUGAUGAAGGUCUUAGGAUUGUAAAAUCCUUUCACCGGUGAAGAUAAUGACUGUAGCCGGAGAAGAAGCCCCGGCUAACUUCGUGCCAGCCGCCGCAGUAACAC
rnacentral:rRNA from 1 species